UGCGUGAAGUUGGAAUCGCUAGUAAUCGCGGAUCAGCAUGCCGCGGUGAAUACGUUCCCGGGCCUUGUACACACCGCCCGUCAAGCCAUGGGAGCCGGGGGCGCCUGAAGUCCGGGACCGCGAGGACCGGCCUAGGGCGAAACUGGUAACUGGGGCUAAGUCGUAACAAGGUAGC
rnacentral:rRNA from 1 species